CAAAUCUUGAUUAAAUGAAGUUAAUAAAGAACAGUAACCAAAACCUAUAUUCGGAAAGUUGGGCAGAUGUUAAGGAAGUACAAAGUUCAGUUACCAAAUUGCAGAAGCAAACUUUCUAAGAAUGAUGGACGGUCAUUUGUUAGUUUUCUAGAAAUGUUUCUCCCACAAAAGUGCCAUCCUUGAUAAAUACAGCAGGAUAACCAAGUGGAGCUUCCACCCAGGCUUCAGAACCUGGUUCUGUGAAUAGCUUUCCCGACCAGACAUGUUUCCAGGAGUAAGUUUCACCUUCUGGAAAAUAGGCCUUGACAUUUUGCUUGCCCUUGUCUAGAACAGGCACCACUAGGAUUUCAGUACCAAUUAAGAACUGGUGGUAGCUCAAGCUUUGCACAUGCUUAUCAUUUGGAUAAUGAAGAAAAAGGUGGCGGCAAAUGGGAAGGCCUUUCUGGGAUGCUUCCUGUUUGCAAAGAACACAGAUUUUUUAGAUCCUCCAGGCAAGUUAAACUGAAUUGAGGUGAAAAACACAUUAAUAUCAGGUAUCACCUUUACUAGUUGGAUUCUGUAGAAAUACCAAGCUUUAUACAUUUUAGCACAGCGUGCAAAAUAUGAUAAAGUUUUCUGGUUUGAGUAGAAUUGGCUGUUGCGAGAUGGUUUAUUUCCCUGCUUGGAGAAAUAGUGGGAAUAAGCAAACUAUAAGAUCAUAUAAAUCAUUGUCCCCUGUUGAACAAUCAUAAUAAUGUGACAUACAGAAAUGAGACUCAUCAUAUUAUUACUUUUAAAAAAUAUCUCUUUUUCUAAAUCAAUUCAAUAAAUAAAUGUCAUUGGUGUGGAGAUAGUUGUAAAUAUUUGGUAGCAUCAUGGAUCAUGAAAUUACAGAAAAAAAAAUUGCAAGAAUUAUUGGCGGUAUUGAGCGAUUAGAAGAUAUUCACUUAUUUUCCAUUUGAUGAUUAUGAUGCAUGCUAAUGAAUCACAGACGAGUGGUUUAACUUACUUCAUGUGUCCGGAAAACAGUGGUGAAAGCAUUUAGUUCCAUCCAUCGAAUAAGCAACUCCUCACUUCUGUUAUACUUGAUAAAAGGCAAGUUUACUGCACAGUAGCCUCCAACAUCACUGUGAUUGAAAGCGUAUCCUGAAAGUCCACUACUCAGUAGUCCAACAACAGCACUUUUUAUCCCAUCAUUAGCCUGCCAACUAACCAUUUGGUCUCCUUCCCAAAAUAGCAUCCCCCAUUUGGGACUAUCCCUGAAACCAGCCCUCAUGAAGAAGACCAAAGACUCUUCUGGGUCCUCUCUCUCCUUACCAACACGAUUUGCUUUCCAUUCUUCCACAAACUCUCGGUUUAUUUUAGCCCAUAGCUCUGGGUAUCUGUUAUGGGCAGAGAUGGGAUCUUCGCCUGAAACAGUCAGUCCAAAGUUACCUAUAAUUCUAUAAUAUUAUACUAUUGGUGUAAGUAUUUAGAAAUCUAAUCCUCAGUCCUAGUUGAUGAAAUUAUUAGAAAUAAUUCAAUAGUUAGUUAAAUUGUUGGUUUCGAGUUUAGUGUGCUGGUGCUGGCCAAUCAUUCAUUUUAACAUUCUGAUCAUAUGGUUAUUUGGACAGAAAGAGGAUGCAAAGAGGUUGUAGUUUUAUUGACUCAUCAAGCCGAACAUUAUAUUAGCUCCUAUGUAACUAAAUAGGAUAUAUUGACUCUUGUCAAGAAAGAAUGAGGAAUUCUUACCUGAAUAAAGGUCAGCAUCUACAGGCAGACCUUCACCAAAAUCAGCCAUCCAUCCUCUGACCCCAUCAUCUACCAUUUCCAACAAAACCUGCUUGAACCAACUUGCGGUAUCUGGGUGGGUCAAAUCCAACAUUCCCACAUCAAAAGCUGUGUUUGGAACCAUAUACGGUUCUCCAUGUUUGUCUUUCACUAAGAUGUCCAACUUUUUGGCCUCCUCAAAAAGAUUUCUCCUUCUGUUUGGUUUCUCAUCCGUCUGUGAAAGGGAAUGAGAGAUUCAGAGAAAAAGAAAUGCCAGCAUGUGUGUUAUGUAAAUAUGUAGCAAUUUAUGAUAACCUACACUAGUGAUAAUGCACAAAAACUGAUGAUGGAGUGGAGGUAAUGUAUAUGCUUGGAAAAAGAAUGGUACCGGAGCUAAACAAGGGUUGCAGUAUGUCAUCACUUUAAUAUGCUGAGCACCAAGAUCUUGAACUAAUUGCUUCCAUCCCUUAUACCUUGUUGUAUCCACUUCCCAGUUCCACCACAGUUGUGAUCCAAUCAGAGUCUUUCUCUGUCCUACCCAAUCCUACACAUGAAUCGCUGCUCGGUGAGAACUUCUACAUAAUGAUCACCAAGGUGCUGAGUUUUUGAACUAAUCAUGAGAUGGAGGUUAGAAUUUUAAAUGUCAAACUAUUUCCAUCUGGUUGUCAAUCAAACCAGUUAAUGUAGUUCAACCAACCAAAGUUUAUCCUGAACUAAUGACAGUUAUAAAUGGGAGUUAAGUUUGUAUAUCUAUAGAAGAACCCAAAGCAAAGAUUUUUUAUGGUUUCGAAGAUAAGAUUAUUUGGACUUUAAAUGAACUUUGAUUUGCAUUUGAAAGUUACAGGGAGUACCUGCAACCAAAAUGCGGAGACGGGAACCUUAUAGGCUUUAAGUUCAUCCCAAAUGCGGCGUACAACUUCUGUUCCACCCUGCAUUCCAACGACAGCUCCAGAUAUAAUCCAUUUAGGAAGCUCAGGAGGCCUCCCAAUAGUUUCUGUGAAGUGUUCAAUAAUCUCAGCAGGGGACUGGGUAUCUUUCAAAUCCUUUGUCUGGUCAAAACUCAGAUAACCAGAUGAAGAAUCAAGAUCGCUAGCCUCCUCAAAAUGGUUACCAUCCAGCUGCUUGAUCACUCUUAUAUCUUCAAUUGUUUGGUGGUCACAAACCACAAGAACAUUCCCAUCUUUGAUAGCAAACGAUCCCCUGCUUUCAUCAAUCUCUGUCUCAGUGAGAGCUGCAGAGACAAAAGCUUGUCCAGGAACGGUGGACCAGAGGGCUCUUGUUGGCCGAGACUGGUGAGAAAUUGAGAGAUGCCCACCAUUUUUGGAGCUCCAAAGAAG